UUUUCUUUGUUGUUCUCUGUUGGAAUUUAUUAGUUUAUUUAAGAAAUUAAUUAGAGAUUUGAUUUGAUUUUGUAUUAGGGUAUUUUUGGUAUUUACACAUUAGGGUUUCUUAGGUUUAUGUUGCUAUAAAUAUAGCUUGUAAUUUAGUUUAAGAAAUAAGUUAGUUAAGAUGUAGCCUCUUCGGUUCAUGUAGCCUUUUUAACAAUUCCGUAUUUCUUUGUUUAAUAAAAUUUUGGGUAAAGUACAAAAAAUUACCUCAACUAUUGGUGUCACAACACUUUCAUACCUCAUCUUUUAAAAUUGACAAUGUCAUACCGCAUCUUACGAAUUUGUGACAAUGUCAUACAUCCG
rnacentral:lncRNA from 1 species